GAUGAACGCUGGCGGCGUGCCUAAUACAUGCAAGUCGAGCGAACAGACGAGGAGCUUGCUCCUUUGACGUUAGCGGCGGACGGGUGAGUAACACGUGGAUAACCUACCUAUAAGACUGGGAUAACUUCGGGAAACCGGAGCUAAUACCGGAUAACAUGUUGAACCGCAUGGUUCAACAGUGAAAGACGGUCUUGCUGUCACUUAUAGAUGGAUCCGCGCCGCAUUAGCUAGUUGGUAAGGUAACGGCUUACCAAGGCAACGAUGCGUAGCCGACCUGAGAGGGUGAUCGGCCACACUGGAACUCAGACACGGUCCAGACUCCUACGGGAGGCAGCAGUAGGGAAUCUUCCGCAAUGGGCGAAAGCCUGACGGAGCAACGCCGCGUGAGUGAAGAAGGUCUUCGGAUCGUAAAACUCUGUUAUUAGGGAAGAACAAAUGUGUAAGUAACUAUGCACGUCUUGACGGUACCUAAUCAGAAAGCCACGGCUAACUACGUG
rnacentral:rRNA from 1 species